rnacentral:siRNA from 1 species
UGACUACCAAGUGAUUCAGUUG